ensembl:snRNA U4 U4 spliceosomal RNA
AGCUUUGCGCAGUGGCAGUAUCACAGCCAAUGAAGUUUAUCCGAGGCGCGAUCAUUGCUAUUUAAAAAAGAAAAACUAAAGUCUCAGUUCGAUGCCAUUGUUGUCAUAAAGGCUACUUU